rnacentral:antisense_RNA from 1 species
CUUGAUCGAGCCGAGCCACAACGGCCGAUCGGCCGGGCGGUCCUGCCCGUAGGUCGCCAAGAUCGCUUGGGCCUC